UACGUAGGCAGCAAGCGUUGUUCGGAAUUACUGGGCGUAAAGAGUGCGUAGGCGGUGCUCUAAGUCUGUUGUGAAAUCUCCCGGCUUAACUGGGAGGGUGCAGCGGAAACUGGAGUGCUUGAGGGUGGGAGAGGUAAGCGGAAUUCCUGGUGUAGCGGUGAAAUGCGUAGAUAUCAGGAGGAACACCUGUGGUGUAGACAGCUUACUGGACCACUUCUGACGCUGAGGAACGAAAGCCAGGGGAGCAAACAGG
rnacentral:rRNA from 1 species